UACGUAGGUGGCAAGCGUUGUCCGGAAUUAUUGGGCGUAAAGCGCGCGCAGGCGGUCCUUUAAGUCUGAUGUGAAAGCCCACGGCUCAACCGUGGAGGGUCAUUGGAAACUGGGGGACUUGAGUACAGAAGAGAAGAGUGGAAUUCCAGGUGUAGCGGUGAAAUGCGUAGAUAUCUGGAGGAACACCGGUGGCGAAGGCGGCAUCCUGGACCGAUAUUGACGCUGAUGCGCGAAAGCCAGGGGAGCAAACGGG
rnacentral:rRNA from 1 species